GUUCAACAAUCCAAUUACGCCAUCGCCGCCUCCUCACCGUCUUCUCCGAUGUCCGACGACGAUCUCGUCGCCAGUCCAUCCUCGAAUAACAAUUCUCCGUCGCCGUCUCCAUCGCCUCCACCGUCUUCUGUAAAGAAUGAACUAGCAACUCUUCCUCCGCCACCGAUGAUCCCGCCGGCGUCGACUCGUCCGGCUGCAUUUCCGGCUCGCGAGGACUGUUGGUCGGAGGCGGCGACUCAUACUCUGAUCGAAGCGUGGGGUUCUCUCUAUGUGGAGCUGAAGCGCGGUAAUCUCCGGCAGAAGCACUGGCAGGAGGUGGCUAACGCCGUUAACAAACUUCACGGCAACACGAAGAAGCAAUUUCGCACCGAUAUACAGUGCAAAAACCGCAUUGAUACAUUGAAGAAGAAGUACAAGAUCGAGAAAGCUAGGGUUUCUCAAUCGCACAGUCGGUAUGUCCCGCAGUGGCCAUUUUUCAACAGCCUCGACGUCCUGAUCGGCGAUAAUUUCAAACCAUCGCCGUUGCCGGUGACGGUCGCUCCUCGACGGAAGACACCUCCGUUGCUUCCUCCUCCAACUUCCGCCAUUCCGGUUGGUCCACGGUCAAAGAGGCCGGCGGCAGUCAUGGAGGACGUCGUUUCCCGGAGAAAUUUCUCUGCUAUGGCUGCAGCUGCAGCUGCUGCUGCCUCCGAGGAUUCAGACGAAGAGGAGGAAUCGGAAACUUCAAGUCCGGCGACAUUUACUGCCAGUGCUCCAAGUAGGAGGAAGGAGAGUGGGGCAUUGGCAGAGGGUUGUAGCAGGUUAGCUGAAGCAAUAGGAAGGUUUGCCGAGAUAUACGAACGAGUUGAAGAUGCUAAGCAGAGGCAAAUGGUGGAAUUAGAGAAGCAAAGAAUGCAGUUUGCAAAGGAUUUGGAGAUUCAAAGAAUGAAACUUAUUAUGGAGUCACAAGUUCAGCUUGAAAAGCUUAAACGCGCGAAGAACAGUUCACAAGCUGAUGGUUACUUGUACAAGGAAUGUUGAGUAGAAGAGUGCAUUUUUUCCACGAAUCUUUCGGAGGUGAUACAUAUAUUUUGGUUAAACCUUGCCAA
rnacentral:misc_RNA from 1 species